rnacentral:tRNA from 1 species
AUAUAAAUAGUAUAAUAAUAGAAUAUCUAUAAUUAUAUUUUAUAAAAAUUUUGAUAAAAAUCAAAUUUAUAUA